rnacentral:rRNA from 1 species
GAUGAACGCUGGCGGCGUGCCUAAUACAUGCAAGUCGAGCGAACAGACGAGGAGCUUGCUCCUCUGACGUUAGCGGCGGACGGGUGAGUAACACGUGGAUAACCUACCUAUAAGACUGGGAUAACUUCGGGAAACCGGAGCUAAUACCGGAUAACAUGUUGAACCGCAUGGUUCAACAGUGAAAGACGGUCUUGCUGUCACUUAUAGAUGGAUCCGCGCCGCAUUAGCUAGUUGGUAAGGUAACGGCUUACCAAGGCAACGAUGCGUAGCCGACCUGAGAGGGUGAUCGGCCACACUGGAACGGAGACACGGUCCAGACUCCUACGGGAGGCAGCAGUAGGGAAUCUCCCGCAAUGGGCGAAAGCCUGACGGAGCAACGCCGCGUGAGUGAAGAAGGUCUUCGGAUCGUAAAACUCUGUUAUUAGGGAAGAACAAAUGUGUAAGUAACUAUGCACGUCUUGACGGUACCUAAUCAGAAAGCCACGGCUAACUACGUG